AGUUUGAAUUAGUUUUUUAAAAUGCUAUGGAUUUGACCUUGCAAAAAAAUGAAUUGGAAUCUAUACUAUGCGGUAAAGAUGAACAUAUUAUUGCUAAAGUUUAUAAACUGUUAUAGAAAUUGAUUUGGAAAAUAAACGUGUGAAGCACUGUAUGAGCCAAUGGACAAGUAAUUUGGGGUAUAAUAUAACACUUGAACAAUGGGAAAAUAUUUGGAUGAUGGG